UUCCCAUUUUCACAAAAAUAUCUAGAGAAAUUGAAGAGCCGUUGUUUUGUUUUGCCGGUGAUCAUGCUUGGGCUACGAAUCUAUUCAUGAUCUAAGAAGAAGCUUUCUCUCAAUUCGGCUAAAGUUAUCGAUUCUAAAGAUAUGUUUAUAGUCUUCUUUGCUUGACGAAAAGGAGACGAAGAAGCUUUUCUUCUUUACAUCGUUACGUGAUGGUGAUGUCGUGUGGUUCUGAGUCAUUAUUGUUUAAGGAAGCGACUCUUAGCUGCAAAUUCCAGAGAAUUCCAGAUAAUGCGGCGUAUCUUAGAACUCAAAAAACAGAGGAUUCCGGAUUGAUUGUUGGCAGUUGUUGAAGAAUGCUUUUACAUAUAUGCAUUUAUUUGUGCAUACAUCCUUGCAUUCAUACAUACAUCAUUGCAUACAUCCUUGCAUUCAUACAU